AGAAGGUUACUCCUUCCUCCUCCUUCUCACAUACAUCUGCUCCUUCUCUCUAAAUUAUACAUUUUAUUUGCACUUAUAACUAUCUUUACCAUACAAGAUAAUGACUUGAGCGUCGGAGUGCCCUCGGGGUGAACCCCCUCGGGCCCUCUAACUAGAUUUUCAUGUGGCUGUAGUUCAAGACCCGACACCCCGCAAGAGGAACCGUCUCUGCGACGACGAGAAGACGAACCUGAACCGGAGGUCGCUGAAUCUAAGGUUAGUACCGCCAAGCCCUUCGAAUGACUUCAGGGAUUUGGGGAUUCGACAUUGGCGCCAUCCGUGGGACCGGGUACAAGCAUGUCUUGGUCUCUUCACACAAACGGCUGGACUUGCCCUCUCCGCGACGGCCAGGUCUGCAUUUUGACUUCGGUUAACAGGGUAACAACCGCACGCGACUCCCAAUCACAGGCAAGAUGUAAUCGGCGUUUGGGAAACGAAGCUCUAAUUGAAUGGAUUUUGGCUCUUGGUUAUCUUCUUAUUCAACAAUUGAUGUAACAG